UACGUAGGGUGCAAGCGUUAAUCGGAAUUACUGGGCGUAAAGCGUGCGCAGGCGGUUGUGCAAGACCGAUGUGAAAUCCCCGGGCUUAACCUGGGAAUGGCAUUGGUGACUGUACGGCUAGAGUGUGUCAGAGGGGGGUAGAAUUCCACGUGUAGCAGUGAAAUGCGUAGAGACGUGGAGGAAUACCGAUGGCGAAGGCAGCCCCCUGGGAUAACACUGACGCUCAUGCACGAAAGCGUGGGGAGCAAACAGG
rnacentral:rRNA from 1 species